CGAUGUUGGCCUGAUUCGAACAGACGCCUCCGAAGAGAAUAGAUUUCUAGUCUAUCGCAUUAGACCACUCUGCCACAACACC
rnacentral:tRNA from 1 species